GAUGAACGCUGGCGGCGUGCCUCAUACAUGCAAGUCGAGCGGACGGACGAGAAGAUUGCUUUUCUGAUGUUGGCGGCGGACGGGUGAGUAACACGUGGAUACCCUACUUAUAAGACUGGGGUAACUUCGGGAGACCGGAGCUGAUACCGGCUAAUAUUUUGUACCGCAUGGUUCAAAAGGGAAAGACGGUCUUGCUGUCACUUAUCGAUGGUUCCGCGUUGCAUUAGCUAGUUGGUAAGGUAACGGCCCACCAAGGCGACGAUGCGUAGCCGGUCUGAGAGGAUGAUUAGGCCAACUGGAAAUGGGACACGGGCCCGACUCCUAAGGGAGGGAGGCGUGGGGAAUAUUGGAGCAUGGGGGGAAGCCCGAUCCAGCCAUCGCGGGUGGGUGGAGAAGGCCUUCGGGUUGUAAAGACCUUUUGUUGGGAAAGAAAAGCAGCAGGUUAAUACCCCGCUGUUCUGACGGUACCCAAAGAAUAAGCACCGGCUAAAUUCGUG
rnacentral:rRNA from 1 species